UACGAAGGACCCAAGCGUUAUCCGGAUUUAUUGGGUUUAAAGGGUGCGUAGGCGGGUUGUUAAGCCAGUGGUGAAAGCUCCGAGCCUAACUCGGAAACUGCCAUUGAUACUGACGAUCUUGAGUACAUUUGAGGUGGGCGGAAUGUGUCAUGUAGCGGUGAAAUGCUUAGAUAUGACACAGAACACCGAUUGCGAAGGCAGCUCACUAAACUGUAACUGACGCUGAGGCACGAAAGCGUGGGGAGCAAACAGG
rnacentral:rRNA from 1 species